CAGAAAAUAGUUUAUGUAAAACAUUAAUUUUGGAGAUUAAAAAUAAAUUAAUUAAUUUUUUUCUGA
rnacentral:tRNA from 1 species